CCUUACUCUGUAAACCACGUGCAAUUUCUCUCUCACUGAUCACUAUCUCACCCACCACAUUCCACAUCCAGACAGAGCUUUUACAGCUUUAGCAGCUCACCUCUUCUUCUCUGCUGCUUGUCUUCUGGUGAUGUUCUUCCCCCAACAUCCGUCUACAACCCCAUCGCUUCCAAUCAGCUCCCUUUGGCCGUAAUUAGCGAUAUUUACCUUCUAGACUUCGUGGAUCCGUCUGGGUUUGUUCAGGAAAUCUCUUCCAAGGUCAGCAGAGUGGUGGUUUCGAAUCACUACAAGACCGCAGUAGAUUGCAGUGAGAGUUCUUGUUCAGUUGGUGAGAAUGUGGAGAGGGUUAUUGACAUCUGGAGGAGUGGAGCUACUGUUGUUUUUUAUUAUUUCAAGGAAAGAGCUGGUAGUGGUCUAAAAGAUUUGAAUUUUGUUUCGAUGAGGGUUUGAUCUUUGAAUCCAUCUUCGUUCAAGCGAUUGGAGGAUGUAAUUAGUCAAGGAUUAACCGGCUUAUCCUAGAAGCGGGAAUGAUUCUCUCGGUCAAUCAUAUGAGAUUGCUCUUGUGGCUGGAGCAUUUGGAGAUUGCCUGGCUCAGCAGACAGAACUGUGAAAUUCUGGGAUUUGGAAACCUUCGAACUGAUUGGAUAUACAAGCCUCGGAGUCACCGCAUUCAAUGUCUACUUGGUGAGCGAGCAGGUCUGCAGUCGAAGAGAGCUUGGGAGAGAGAAGAGAAAGAGAGAGAGAGCAGAAACUAGUUGAGCUCCAUUUGAUCUCCCAGAAGCGGAAUCUGAAUCCGUUGUAGGCUAUAAUGUGAAUGCAAUUUUUCCUAAGUCUUUCAUAUGCUUACAAGAGGAGAGGUGAGAGAUGCUUUUUCAUAAAGGAAAGGAAAACAGAGGUGGUAUUACUUUGGUAAAAUAGUAUUGUGUUUUAAUUAUUUCAUAUGUUAUUUACCGUUAUAAA